rnacentral:rRNA from 1 species
UACGUAGGGUGCAAGCGUUGUCCGGAAUUAUUGGGCGUAAAGAGCUCGUAGGCGGUUUGUCGCGUCUGCUGUGAAAACUCGGGGCUUAACCCCGGGCCUGCAGUGGGUACGGGCAGACUAGAGUGCGGUAGGGGAGACUGGAAUUCCUGGUGUAGCGGUGAAAUGCGCAGAUAUCAGGAGGAACACCGGUGGCCGAAGGCGGUGCUCUGGGCCGGAACUGACGCUGAGGAGCGAAAGCGUGGGGAGCAAACAGG